UGGGGAAUAUUGGACAAUGGGCGAAAGCCUGAUCCAGCCACGCCGCGUGAGUGAUGAAGGCCUUCGGGUUGUAAAGCUCUGUGGGGAGGGACGAAAAAGGUGGAGAAGACAACGCUCCGCCCUUGACGGUACCUCCUUAGCAAGCACCGGCUAACUCUGUGCCAGCAGCCGCGGUAAGACAGAGGGUGCGAACGUUGCUCGGAAUUACUGGGCGUAAAGCGCGUGUAGGCGGGUGAUCAAGUCAGGUGUGAAAUCCCUGGGCUCAACCCAGGAACUGCACUUGAAACUGGUCGCCUUGAGUGUUGGAGAGGGAAGCGGAAUUCCUGGUGUAGAGGUGAAAUUCGUAGAUAUCAGGAGGAACACCGGUGGCGAAGGCGGCUUCCUGGACAACUACUGACGCUGAGACGCGAAAGCGUGGGGAGCAAACAG
rnacentral:rRNA from 1 species